AUUGAACGCUGGCGGCAGGCCUAACACAUGCAAGUCGAACGAGCGGCGGACGGGUGAGUAAUGUAUGGGGACACCCCGCUAGAGGGGGAUAACUACUGGAAACGGUAGCUAAUACAGCAUAUUACCUGAGAACCCCUAUGGGAUUAGCUAGUAGGUGUGGUAAUGGAUCACCUAGGCGACGAGCCCUAGCUGGUCUGAGAGGAUGAUCAGCCACACUGGGACUGAGACACGGCCCAGACUCCUACGGAGGCAGCAGUGGGGAAUAUUGCACAAUGGGCGCAAGCCUGAUGCAGCCAUGCCGCGUGUAUGAAGAAGGCCUUAGGGUUGUAAAGUACUUUCAGCGGGGAGGCGUUACCCGCAGAAGAAGCACCGGCUAACUACGUGCCAGCCGCCGCGGUAAUUC
rnacentral:rRNA from 1 species